GCUCUAGUUGGCCGCCCGCUCCGUGUAACCAUGCUGUGCCGGUCGUGUGCCGGGUGGCUCAGGUCGCUGCCCACCCUGCGGCUCCCGGCACCGGGAUCACCGCCCGCCUGGAGCAGCGCGCGGCUCCCAGCCCUUCCGGUAUGGGCAGCCGCUUCGGUGUCUGCGGCCUCUCCAGGUGGCUGGUAUGAGGCCCUGGCAGCGUCGGCGCCGGUGCGCACCGCGGAGGAAGUGCUGCUGGGCGCGCAGGAGGCUACCGGCCUCCCCUGGUGGAGCAACAUCAUACUCAGCACCGUUGCCCUGCGCGGUGCUGUCACUCUGCCCCUGGCCGCCUAUCAGCACUACAUCCUGGCUAAGUUAGGUGGAAAACUUGCAACCAGAAAUAAAAGACAUCGCCAAGCGCCUUAACCAAGAAGUUGCAGUCUGUGCCCGUCAGUUUGGAUGGUCCAAGAGAGUGGCUAGACUCACCUAUCUGAAGAACAUGCGGAGACUUAUCUCAGAGCUGUAUGUCCGUGACAACUGCCACCCUUUCAAAGCCACGGUGCUGGUCUGGGUCCAGCUUCCAAUGUGGGUUUUCAUCUCUGUCGCCCUCCGGAACCUCAGCACUGGGGCCACACAUUCAGACGCAGGCAUUUCUGUUCAGGAACAGUUAGCUGCUGGCGGGACGCUGUGGUUUCCUGACCUCACCGCAGUGGAUUCCACCUGGAUUCUGCCUGUCUCUGUUGGUGUUGUCAACCUACUGAUAGUGGAGAUUUUUGCUCUACAAAAAAUUGGGACGUCUCGUUUUCAAAUGUAUGUUACAAAUUUUGUCCGAGCUGUAUCCGUGUUGAUGAUUCCAGUUGCUGCAACAGUACCCUCGGCGCUUGUUCUCUACUGGCUGUGCUCCAGCCUCAUGGGCCUCGCACAGAACCUGCUGCUGCGCUCCCCUGGGUUCCGCCAGCUCUGCCGGAUACCACCAAGCAAGUCCGACUCAGAGACCCCGUACCGAGACCUCUCUGCUGCCUUUUGCGCCAAGUUCCUUUCAAGAAAACGAUGAGAGUCCACUCCCAACACCCUUGAAAUAAUUACAAAUGUCACUGUCAGUUUCAUGCAUUGAAUUUGGAAGUCUAUAUUUAAAUAUCAUGAAGCACUGUGGGAAAUUCAGAUGUAUUUGACGUUUAGUAAUUAAAAACUAAAUAUUCAAUUGUAAGAGUAUAAAAAUAACAUAGGAUGCCUGGCCUUAUUCAUAAAAAUCAUAGUUUUGCUGAGAACAGGAUUAGGUCCUGUGUGAUCUCUACCCAACUGUCCACAAAUAAAGUUUUGUAAGUUAAA